UAGAAUUCCAGGAGUAGCGGUGAAAUGCGUAGAUAUCUGGAGGAAUACCAAAGGCGAAGGCAGUCCCCUGGUCCGAUACUGACACUGAGGUACGAAAGCGUGGGGAGCAAACAGGAUUAGAUACCCUGGUAGUCCACGCCCUAAACGAUGUCGAUUAGCCAUUGGAAGGACCCCUUUUCCUUUCAGUGACGUAGCUAACGCGUUAAAUCGACCGCCUGGGAAGUACGACCGCAAGGUUAAAACUCAAAGGAAUUGACGGGGACCUGAACAAGCGGUGAAUGAUGUGGAUUAAUUCGAUGCUACGCGAAGAACCUUACCUACCUUUGACAUGGCCAAAGUUCUACCGAGAGGCGGAAGUACUCGUAAGAGGAUUGGCGCACAGGUGCUGCAUGGUUGUCGUCAGUUCGUGUCGUGAGAUGUUGGGCUCAGUCCCGCAACGAACGCAACCCUUAUCUUUAAUUGCUCCUAUUUUAACAGGCACUUUAAAGAAACUGCCAAUGAUAAGUUGGAGGAAGGUGGGGAUCACGUCAAGUCCGCAUGGCCUUUAUAGGUAGGGCUUCACACGUCAUACAAUGGUUAGAACAAAGAGCUGCAAAUUCGUAAGAAGGAGCCAAUCUCACAAACCUAACCUCAGUUCGAAUUGCGGUCUGCAACUCGAGCGCAUGAAGCCGGAAUCGCUAGUAAUCGUGGAUCAGAAUGC
rnacentral:rRNA from 1 species